CUUAUAUGUUGCGGUGCAAUUUUAUCAUACCAAUUUUUCAAAUCGUUGGAUCCCAUUCAGUUGCUUUUCUCAUUCCUAUCAAGACGCCUUUGAUCACUUUGAUAAUUAAGACUAAUUGAAUAUUUCAUUAUGGUUAGUUUUAAGGCGGUGUGUCUUUCAAGUUCAAGUUCCAGGGAGGAAUCCUCAGGAUUGUCAAUAUCUUAAUUGGGGUUACGAGCUCAAAGUCAUAGGAGGAAUCCUUUUGGCAAGAAUUCUAUUUGGCUUAUGUGCUUUUGCAUUUUUAAUCCGUAAGUUUAAAAGAAGGCAUUUAUCGAUGUUCGAUAGCAUUGAAGGUUAUCUGCGAAGUCAAAAUCACCUCAUGCCAAUUAGCUACUCUUACUUAGACAUUAAAAAGAUGGCCAAAGGUUUCAAGAACAAGUUGGGAGAAGGAGGCUAUGGUUCUGUCUACAAAGGAAAGCUUAGAAGUGGUCAUCUUGUAGCGAUAAAAGUAUUGGGCAAGCCCAAAGCCAAUGGACAAGAAUUUAUUAAUGAAGUUGCUACCAUAGGAAGGAUUCAUCAUGUUAAUGUGGUUCAGCUAAUUGGAUAUUGUGCAGAGAGAUCUAAGCGAGCUCUUAUAUAUGACUU